rnacentral:rRNA from 1 species
CACGUAGGGUGCGAGCGUUGUCCGGAAUUAUUGGGCGUAAAGAGCUCGUAGGUGGUUUGUCGCGUUGUUCGUGAAAACCGGGGGCUUAACCCUCGGCGUGCGGGCGAUACGGGCAGACUUGAGUACUGCAGGGGAGGACUGGAAUUCCUGGUGUAGCGGUGGAAUGCGCAGAUAUCAGGAGGAACACCGGUGGCGAAGGCGGGUCUCUGGGCAGUAACUGACGCUGAGGAGCGAAAGCGUGGGGAGCGAACAGG